rnacentral:rRNA from 1 species
GAUGAACGCUGGCGGCGUGCCUAAUACAUGCAAGUCGAGCGAACGGACGAGAAGCUUGCUUCUCUGACGUUAGCGGCGGACGGGGGAGUAACACGUGGAUAACCUACCUAUAAGACUGGGAUAACUUCGGGAAACCGGAGCUAAUACCGGAUGAUAUUUUGAACCGCAUGGUUCAAAAGUGAAAGACGGUCUUGCUGUCACUUAUAGAUGGAUCCGCGCUGCAUUAGCUAGUUGGUAAGGUAACGGCUUACCAAGGCAACGAUGCCUAGCCGACCUGAGAGGGUGAUCGGCCACACUGGAACUGAGACACGGUCCAGACUCCUACGGGAGGCAGCAGUAGGGAAUCUUGCGCAAUGGGCGAAAGCCUGAUGGAGCAACGCCGCGUGAGUGAUGAAGGUCUUCGGAUCGUAAAGCUCUGUUAGUAGGGAAGAACAGAUGUGUAAGUAACUGUGCACAUCUUGACGGUACCUGAUCAGAAAGCCCCGGCUAACUACGUG